rnacentral:rRNA from 1 species
GACAGAGGAUGCAAGCGUUAUCCGGAAUGAUUGGGCGUAAAGCGUCUGUAGGUGGCUUUUUAAGUCCGCCGUCAAAUCCCAGGGCUCAACCCUGGACAGGCGGUGGAAACUACCAAGCUGGAGUACGGUAGGGGCAGAGGGAAUUUCCGGUGGAGCGGUGAAAUGCGCAGAUAUCGGGAAGAACACCCGUGGCGAAGGCGGUUCUCUGGGACGGUACUGACGCUGAGACGCGAAAGCGUGGGGAGCGAACAGG